AUUGAACGCUGGCGGCAGGCCUAACACAUGCAAGUCGAACGAGUGGCGGACGGGUGAGUAAUGUCUGGGAAACUGCCUGAUGGAGGGGGAUAACUACUGGAAACGGUAGCUAAUAACGCAUACCAUAGGAUGUGCCCAGAUGGGAUUAGCUAGUAGGUGGGGUAAAGGCUCACCUAGGCGACGAUACCUAGCUGGUCUGAGAGGAUGACCAGCCACACUUGAACGGAGACACUGUCCAGCCUCCUACGGGAGGCAUCAGUGGGGAAUAUUGCACAAUGAGCGCAAGCCUGAUGCAGCCAUGCCGCGUGUAUGAAGAAGGCCUUCGGGUUGUAAAGUACUUGCAGCGGGGAGGCGGUACCCGCAGAAGAAGCACCGGCUAACUCCGUGCCAGCAGCCGCGGUAAUUC
rnacentral:rRNA from 1 species